rnacentral:rRNA from 1 species
GUCCAGACUCCUACGGGAGGCAGCAGUGGGGAAUAUUGCGCAAUGGGGGAAACCCUGACGCAGCAACGCCGCGUGAGUGAGGAAGUAUCUCGGUAUGUAGAGCUCUAUCAGCGGGGAAGAAGGAAGACGGUACCCGACUAAGAAGCCCCGGCUAACUACGUGCCAGCAGCCGCGGUAAUACGUAGGGGGCGAGCGUUAUCCGGAUUUACUGGGUGUAAAGGGAGCGUAGACGGCAGUGCAAGUCUGGAGUGAAAGGCGGGGGCUCAACCCCCGGACUGCUCUGGAAACUGUACGGCUGGAGUGCAGGAGAGGUAAGUGGAAUUCCUAGUGUAGCGGUGAAAUGCGUAGAUAUUAGGAGGAACACCAGUGGCGAAGGCGGCUUACUGGACUGUAACUGACGUUGAGGCUCGAAAGCGUGGGGAGCAAACAGGAUUAGAUACCCUAGUA